rnacentral:rRNA from 1 species
CAGCAGCCGCGGUAAUACGUAGGGUGCAAGCGUUAAUCGGAAUUACUGGGCGUAAAGCGUGCGCAGGCGGUUAUAUAAGACAGAUGUGAAAUCCCCGGGCUCAACCUGGGAACUGCAUUUGUGACUGUAUAGCUAGAGUACGGCAGAGGGGGAUGGAAUUCCGCGUGUAGCAGUGAAAUGCGUAGAUAUGCGGAGGAACACCGAUGGCGAAGGCAAUCCCCUGGGCCUGUACUGACGCUCAUGCACGAAAGCGUGGGGAGCAAACAGGAUUAGAUACCCCCGUAGUCCCUGUCUCUUAUCC